rnacentral:tRNA from 1 species
GGCUCGGUAGCUCAGAUGGUUAGAGCGCCGCAUUCAUAACGCGGAGGUCGGCAGUUCGAUCCUGCCCCGAGCCACCA